UCCUGACUGACCGAUAGUGAACCAGUACCGUGAGGGAAAGGCGAAAAGAACCCCGGCGAGGGGAGUGAAAAAGAACCUGAAACCGUGUACGUACAAGCAGUGGGAGCACGCUUAGGCGUGUGACUGCGUACCUUUUGUAUAAUGGGUCAGCGACUUAUAUUCUGUAGCAAGGUUAACCGAAUAGGGGAGCCGAAGGGAAACCGAGUCUUAACUGGGCGUUAAGUUGCAGGGUAUAGACCCGAAACCCGGUGAUCUAGCCAUGGGCAGGUUGAAGGUUGGGUAACACUAACUGGAGGACCGAACCGACUAAUGUUGAAAAAUUAGCGGAUGACUUGUGGCUGGGGGUGAAAGGCCAAUCAAACCGGGAGAUAGCUGGUUCUCCCCGAAAGCUAUUUAGGUAGCGCCUCGUGAAUUCAUCUCCGGGGGUAGAGCACUGUUUCGGCAAGGGGGUCAUCCCGACUUACCGACCCGAUGCAAACUGCGAAUACC
rnacentral:rRNA from 1 species